rnacentral:rRNA from 1 species
UACGUAGGUGGCGAGCGUUGUCCGGAUUUACUGGGCGUAAAGAGCGCGCAGGCGGUCGUGCCAAGUCGCGUGUGAAAGCCCCCGGCUCAACUGGGGAGGGUCACGCGAUACUGCUCGACUUGAAGGCAGGAGAGGGAAGUGGAAUUCCCGGUGUAGUGGUGAAAUGCGUAGAUAUCGGGAGGAACACCAGUGGCGAAGGCGACUUCCUGGCCUGUUCUUGACUGCUGAGGCA